GAGCGGCGGACGGGUGAGUAACGCGUGAGUAACCUGCCUCAUACAGGGGAAUAACAGUUAGAAAUGACUGCUAAUGCCGCAUAAGCGCACAGGGCCGCAUGGCCCGGUGUGAAAAACUCCGGUGGUAUGAGAUGGACUCGCGUCUGAUUAGCUAGUUGGCAGGGUAACGGCCUACCAAGGCGACGAUCAGUAGCCGGCCUGAGAGGGUGAACGGCCACAUUGGGACUGAGACACGGCCCAAACUCCUACGGGAGGCAGCAGUGGGGAAUAUUGCACAAUGGGGGAAACCCUGAUGCAGCGACGCCGCGUGAGUGAAGAAGUAUUUCGGUAUGUAAAGCUCUAUCAGCAGGGAAGAAAAUGACGGUACCUGACUAAGAAGCCCCGGCUAACUACGUGCCAGCAGCCGCGGUAAUACGUAGGGGGCAAGCGUUAUCCGGAUUUACUGGGUGUAAAGGGAGCGUAGACGGCUUUGCAAGUCUGACGUGAAACUCCGGGGCUCAACUCCGGAACUGCGUUGGAAACUGUAAGGCUUGAGUGCCGGAGAGGUAAGCGGAAUUCCUAGUGUAGCGGUGAAAUGCGUAGAUAUUAGGAGGAACACCAGUGG
rnacentral:rRNA from 1 species